GGCAGCUCACGGUGCGCCCGUCGUGGGCCACGGCUCAGCGGUUACGCCACAAACGGCGGUCAACCGACCGGCUCAUUCAUUGCGCACUCCAGCCAACGGAUCCAUCCCUUCGCCGGAAGUCUCGUUCCCCUCCCAAUCCCUACACUUAUCUUUCUUCAAUCUCGCCGGUAAGAACCAGAUCCGGAGACGAUAACUACCUCCUCUUCGUCGUCGCAGCCCGACGAUAAACUGCCACUGAUUCCUUGCCCCACCUGCGGCGACAAGGUGGUCACCUUCACUACCGAGCCGAGACAAUGUCCAUGGAAGGAGACAUGGAGGGAAGGAUGACAUGGAGCGAAGUUGCUAAAACAUUCAAGCUCUACACCGGCUGAAGCGCAACACCUCUAGCGCCAGCGGCGCCACCACCACCACCACCUGCUGCUGUGAGGCAGGGCAGUAUGAAGGCCAAGAAUUGAAAAAUUGCAGAGAAAACCUCAACUACAAAUGCCCAGACGGCGAGGUGGCCUCUUGUAGGUCCGGCGCCGCCUCCUCCGGCCCCGGCCCCCUGCUCUAGAUCUUGCUGAUGUUUGCGACAACAUCAGUUGCGGCAUAGCACUCCCAAGACAAAGCCAACGCCCCCGCCAAUGCAAUGGCGGAGCUAGACGUAAUCUAUCAGGGGUGGGCCAUACCUGCUCUGAAGAUGGUUAGGUGGAUAAAGACUACGGACGCCGGAUGGAAAUAUCUCGACAUACUCUGCCUGCUCUCUUGUUGCAUUCCGUAGCCAGCAAAAUGAGCUUGUAGUAUUCAAGAUUUUUCUUUCAAGUGCUAGUAAUAUUUUGGUAAAUUAGUGCUGCUCGUAUUUUGACCAAGCCAGCGUGACAUGAUUAUAAAUUUAUAAUCUUGACGACCA